GGCGCGCCGGGCCACUCGGUCACCUAGUGUUAUCCUCUACAGUGUGUUGUGCUGUGCUAUAGUCGGCGCGCGUCCCGUCGUUUAGUGUGCCGUUUGUUUGUGGUCGCGGCUCCUAAGCACACUGUCCAUCACGCGCUCUCAUCUUUCCUACUCUGCGGACAUAAUUUAUCUUCGAAUAUUUUUAUACCAGCAAAUUUCGUCAGCUCUAAUUGAUAUUGUUGUUUUGUAUUACAUUAUUGAACGUGUCAGCCGUUGACGACGACGCCCGAUCAUAACGCGUUGUGUAUAUCGACCGUUCGAUGGUGGUGAUGUGUAGCAUGUUAUUAUUGCUGUCUUUCGUCCAGUCCCCGUACUGCUACGUCCGUCCCGCUGUACCUGCCCGCUGCCGUGCCGAGAACGUGUCAUUCUGAAGAAACAGAGGCCGUUGUCACUGCCAUUAAUCUUCAUAACGUAACAAGCGUAAAAUCUGUACAGUAAUCACGGUUGUUGUUGUUGUUCAUUAGGUUGUGCAACGGGACGACGUCAUAAAUAUAGUUCACCUUAAGCCUAUACUACAGAAAUAUGGGCUGUUUUGGUAGCAAAGAUAAACUAUCUAAAGAGGAUAUGGAUUUCCUCAAGUCGCACACCAGGUACGACGAAGCAACCAUUAAAGAAUGGUAUAAAGGAUUCAAAUUAUACAUGUUGGUCUGGU